AGUGAACGCUGGCGGUAGGCCUAACACAUGCAAGUCGAACGGCAGCACAGUAAGAGCUUGCUCUUACGGGUGGCGAGUGGCGGACGGGUGAGGAAUACAUCGGAAUCUACUUUUUCGUGGGGGAUAACGUAGGGAAACUUACGCUAAUACCGCAUACGACCUACGGGUGAAAGCAGGGGAUCUUCGGACCUUGCGCGAUUGAAUGAGCCGAUGUCGGAUUGGCUAGUUGGCGGGGUAAAGGCCCACCAAGGCGACGAUCCGUAGCUGGUCUGAGAGGAUGAUCAGCCGCACUGGAACUGAGACACGGUCCAGACUCCUACGGGAGGCAGCAGUGGGGAAUAUUGGACAAUGGGCGCAAGCCUGAUCCAGCCAUACCGCGUGGGUGAAGAAGGCCUUCGGGUUGUAAAGCCCUUUUGUUGGGAAAGAAAAGCAGCAGGUGAAUACCCCGCUGUUCUGACGGUACCCAAAGAAUAAGCACCGGCUAACUUCGUG
rnacentral:rRNA from 1 species